AUGCGGGGCAGUUUGGUGCGGAGCAGUGCAGUAGGGUUUGACGUGGUGUGCUGUGCUGUGACACGGUACAGUGCAGGGCCACCAGCCCAUGGCAGCAGGCAGCUGCGCCCCCCCCCACCCGCUCACCGGUGCUGGGGCUGUGGGCAGCUCCCUGGACACGCAGUGCCACCCCCUCCCCCUCCCAACCCGUCCAGGAAACUGGUUUCCCAGCGAAAAUUAGAUGUUGACAAAACAAUGUUUAUUCACCUAAACAGUUCUGCUCUUCAUGGAAAAUAUUUGCACUCAAAACGUGGCCCCUCACACAAACAGCGGGGAGGAGCCGGCCCAGGAGUGCCAGCAGAGGCGCAGACACGCAGCAGAGGUGCGGUGCUGGCACUGCGUGGUCCCACCUCGGACCAGGACAGACACGAGACACCCCCGGCACCUGUAGGAGCUCCCCUGCAGUGCAAGGCCUCCACAGGCAGAGGUCACGGGGCGAAGGGCUGUCAGCGGGUGGAACGCGACCCUGCGCCCAGCGGGGCCCGCGGACGUGCCAUCCACCAGGCUUCGCAACCCCCGGUGACGAUGAUCUGCUGUGGAAAGGAAAGUUGUGUGAGCCCCAGAAAAAAUGUCUUUAGCCUUAUAAACUGACACAGUUGUUUAUAAUAUUCCUAAGUGCCAUUGCGUGAUGAUAGCAAUUCUCCGACAGGGAAAAUUUACUUUUUUCCUUCUUUUUUUAAAUAAAGUUAGAAAGCUGUAAGUCCCA
rnacentral:lncRNA from 1 species